UUUGCUAUACAAUUGAAUUGUACAUAGAUAUUUUGUGCUGUUCUUUUAUAUUCCAGAAUUCCCUUUACUGUUAAAGAUAACACUUAAUGAUGACAGAAGAUUAAAUGGCCUGUCCAGAAUCUUUUGCCUCUGGAGUAUGAAGACUAAAAGUCACAAUGAUUGAUCAGUUCCAGUCCAGGACUUCAAGGACUUCUCAUACCAGCUGCCUAUGACUGGUGCAAUGAUCCCAGUGUCCUUUGUAACCAGCAUUAUUCAUGUAUUGAAUCAAGCCAGAAAUCAAAUACAUUGAUUUUUAACAUUG